GACGAACGCUGGCGGCGUGCUUAACACAUGCAAGUCGAACGGAAAGGCCCUGCUUUUGUGGGGUGCUCGAGUGGCGAACGGGUGAGUAACACGUGAGUAACCUGCCCUUGACUUUGGGAUAACUUCAGGAAACUGGGGCUAAUACCGGAUAGGAGCUCCUGCUGCAUGGUGGGGGUUGGAAAGUUUCGGCGGUUGGGGAUGGACUCGCGGCUUAUCAGCUUGUUGGUGGGGUAGUGGCUUACCAAGGCUUUGACGGGUAGCCGGCCUGAGAGGGUGACUGGCCACAUUGGGACUGAGAUACGGCCCAGACUCCUACGGGAGGCAGCAGUGGGGAAUAUUGCACAAUGGGCGGAAGCCUGAUGCAGCAACGCCGCGUGCGGGAUGACGGCCUUCGGGUUGUAAACCGCUUUCGCCUGUGACGAAGCGUGAGUGACGGUAAUGGGUAAAGAAGCACCGGCUAACUACGUGCCAGCAGCCGCGGUGAUACGUAGGGUGCGAGCGUUGUCCGGAUUUAUUGGGCGUAAAGGGCUCGUAGGUGGUUGAUCGCGUCGGAAGUGUAAUCUUGGGGCUUAACCCUGAGCGUGCUUUCGAUACGGGUUGACUUGAGGAAGGUAGGGGAGAAUGGAAUUCCUGGUGGAGCGGUGGAAUGCGCAGAUAUCAGGAGGAACACCAGUGGCGAAGGCGGCUCUCUGGGCCUUUCCUGACGCUGAGGAGCGAAAGCGUGGGGAGCGAACAGGCUUAGAUACCCUGGUAGUCCACGCUGUAAACGGUGGGUACUAGGUGUGGGGUCCAUUCCACGGGUUCCGUGCCGUAGCUAACGCUUUAAGUACCCCGCCUGGGGAGUACGGCCGCAAGGCUAAAACUCAAAGGAAUUGACGGGGCCCCGCACAAGCGGCGGAGCAUGCGGAUUAAUUCGAUGCAACGCGUAGAACCUUACCUGGGUUUGACAUGGAUCGGGAGUGCUCAGAGAUGGGUGUGCCUCUUUUGGGGUCGGUUCACAGGUGGUGCAUGGCUGUCGACAGCUCGUGUCGUGAGAUGUUGGGUUAAGUCCCGCAACGAGCGCAACCCUUGUUCACUGUUGCCAGCACGUUAUGGUGGGGACUCAGUGGAGACCGCCGGGGUCAACUCGGAGGAAGGUGGGGAUGACGUCAAGUCAUCAUGCCCCUUAUGUCCAGGGCUUCACGCAUGCUACAAUGGCUGGUACAGAGAGUGGCGAGCCUGUGAGGGUGAGCGAAUCUCGGAAAGCCGGUCUCAGUUCGGAUUGGGGUCUGCAACUCGACCUCAUGAAGUCGGAGUCGCUAGUAAUCGCAGAUCAGCAACGCUGCGGUGAAUACGUUCCCGGG
rnacentral:rRNA from 1 species